rfam:Ricinus communis cultivar Hale ctg_1100012295241, whole genome shotgun sequence.
AUAUCCAUGGAGUGGACAUUGCAAUAAAAGUAAUUUGAAGCGAUUCCAUGUUUCAUGAAAAGUUUUAGUAUCCUUUUGAUAAAAAUUAGAAAUUUCAGCUCUUAAUUC